rnacentral:rRNA from 1 species
GAUGAACGCUGGCGGCGUGCCUAAUACAUGCAAGUCGAGCUAACAGACGAGGAGCUUGCUCCUCUGACGUUAGCGGCGGACGGGUGAGUAACACGUGGAUAACCUACCUAUAAGACUGGGAUAACUUCGGGAAACCGGAGCUAAUACCGGAUAAUAUAUUGAACCGCAUGGUUCAAUAGUGAAAGACGGUUUUGCUGUCACUUAUAGAUUGAUCCGCGCCGCAUUAGCUAGUUGGUAAGGUAACGGCUUACCAAGGCAACGAUGCGUAGCCGACCUGAGAGGGUGAUCGGCAACACUGGAACUGAGACACGGUCCAGACUCCUACGGGAGGCAGCAGUAGGGAAUCUUCCGCAAUGGGCGAAAGCCUGACGGAGCAACGCCGCGUGAGUGAUGAAGGUCUUCGGAUCGUAAAACUCUGUUAUUAGGGAAGAACAAAUGUGUAAGUAACUAUGCGCGUCUUGACGGUACCUAAUCAGAAAGCCACGGCUAACUACGUG